GACGAACGCUGGCGGCGCGCCUAACACAUGCACGUCGAACGGAGCUGAGAGCCGACUGCUUUUCUUAGCUUAGUGGCGAACGGGUGAGUAACGCGAGAGUUACCUGCCCUGGCGAGGGCGACAACAGCCGGCAACGACUGCUAAUACUGCAUAAGCCCACGAUCCGGCAUCGGAUUGAGGGAAAAAGAUUUAUUCGCAUCCGUAUGGACUCGCGUCCAAUUAUCUAGUUGGUGAGGUAACGGCCCACCAAGGCGCCGAUUAGUAGCCGGACUGGGAGGUUGAACGGCCACAAUGGUACUGAGGCACGGCCCAGACUCCUGCGGGGGGCAGCAGGGGGGGAUAUUACACAAGGGAGGAAACCCGUAGGCGGCGACGCCGCGUAGAGGAAGAAGGUUUUCGGAUUGUAGACUCCUGUCGUUAGGGACGAUAAUGACGGUACCUAACAAGAAGGCACCGGCUAACUACGUG
rnacentral:rRNA from 1 species